ensembl:snRNA U2 U2 spliceosomal RNA
GUUGCUGCUUGUCAUUUUGGCUGAGGUCAAGUGUGAUAUCUGUUCUUAUUAGUUUGAUGUCUGAUCUUCCCUUUAUCUAAGGAAAAAUUAAAUGUGUUUUUGGAGCAGAGGAGUGGAAUGGGAGCUCUCUGUAUCUACUAACAGUAACCUGGCAUUGUAGUACUUCCAGGAAUGGUACACCUCCU